GACGAACGCUGGCGGCGUGCCUAAUACAUGCAAGUCGAACGGUCUUUUCUAUGGAAGCUUGCUUCCGCUGAGAAGAUAGUGGCGAACGGGUGAGUAACACGUGGGUAACCUGCCCAUAAGAGGGGGAUAACAUCCGGAAACGGGUGCUAAUACCGCAUAGGUUUCUUGGUCGCAUGAUCGAGAAAGGAAGACGGCCUUUGUGCUGUCGCUUAUGGAUGGACCCGCGGCGUAUUAGUUAGUUGGUGAGGUAAUGGCUCACCAAGACGAUGAUACGUAGCCGACCUGAGAGGGUGAUCGGCCACAUUGGGACUGAGACACGGCCCAAACUCCUACGGGAGCAGCAGUAGGGAAUUUUGCACAAUGGACGCAAGUCUGAUGCAGCGACGCCGCGUGAGGGAUGGAGGCCCUUCGGGUUGU
rnacentral:rRNA from 1 species